rnacentral:rRNA from 1 species
GAUGAACGCUGGCGGCGUGCCUAAUACAUGCAAGUCGAGCGAACAGAUAAGGAGCUUGCUCCUUUGACGUUAGCGGCGGACGGGUGAGUAACACGUGGAUAACCUACCUAUAAGGCUGGGAUAACUUCGGGAAACCGGAGCUAAUACCGGAUAACAUAUUGAACCGCAUGGUUCAAUAGUGAAAGGCGGCUUUGCUGUCACUUAUAGAUGGAUCCGCGCCGUAUUAGCUAGUUGGUAAGGUAACGGCUUACCAAGGCAACGAUACGUAGCCGACCUGAGAGGGUGAUCGGCCACACUGGAACUGAGACACGGUCCAGACUCCUACGGGAGGCAGCAGUAGGGAAUCUUCCGCAAUGGGCGAAAGCCUGACGGAGCAACGCCGCGUGAGUGAUGAAGGUCUUCGGAUCGUAAAACUCUGUUAUCAGGGAAGAACAAAUGUGUAAGUAACUGUGCACAUCUUGACGGUACCUGAUCAGAAAGCCACGGCUAACUACGUG